GACGAAAGCUGGCGGCAUGCCUAACACAUGCAAGUCGAACGAAAAGUAGCAAUAUUUUAGUGGCGAACGGGUGAGUAACACUUGAGCAACCUACCUUAUACAUCGGGAUAACGCCUAGAAAUGGGUGCUAAUACCGAGUAAGACCACAGUAUGACAUCAUACAGGGGUCAAAGUUCAGGCGGUAUAAGAUGGGCUCGAGUCCAAUUAGCUAGAUGGUGAGAUAACAGCCCACCAUGGCGACGAUUGGUAGCCGGCCUGAGAGGGUGAUCGGCCACACUGGGACUGAGACACGGCCCAGACUCCUACGGGAGGCAGCAGUGGGGAAUAUUGGACAAUGGGCGCAAGCCUGAUCCAGCAAUGCCGCGUGCAGGAUGAAGGCCUUCGGUUGUAAACUGCUUUGUUACGGAACGAACGGUACUGCCCUAACUACGUGGGCGUAAUGACGGUACCGUAAGAAUAAGACACCGGCUAACUACGUGCCAGCAGCCGCGGUAA
rnacentral:rRNA from 1 species